UAAUCCUCAGGAUCCAUAAAACCUGUGUCCUGCCAGGACCUCUGUGAGUCCAUGGACUCAGCUAUUAACCCUUAUUAUGGAGGCUGUUUGCGUUAAAGGGUCAUUUUAUACAGAGGUAGUGUUUCACGGUGAGAAAUAGAAUUUAAUGUGUGUGUUUCCAGUGUUCUUUAUCACAAAUCACACCCUUCCCAUUUGAUUUCUUGUGUUAGGACAUCCAGGAGCAGCUGUUCCAUAUCAAGAAGCUGUUGAAGACUUGCAGGUUUGCCCACAGCACGUUGAAGGCGUUUGAGCAGCUGCCCAGACACUUGUCGGAUGAGCUCUACCUGUUCUCCCUGGAGGACCUUGUCAGGACCAAGAAAGGGCUGCUGGCACCCUUGCUCAAGCAUGUUCUGAAAGUUUCCCUCAUGCACGUUGCUGACUGUGAGCUGUGCCAGGGAAAGGGCUUCAUUUGUGAAUUUUGUCAGAGUACAGCUGUCAUCUUCCCAUUUCAGACCACAACAUGCAGAAGAUGUUCAGCCUGCAGAGCUUGCUAUCACAAACAGUGCUUCCAGUCCUCUGGGUGUCCCCGGUGUGCGAGGAUCAUAGCUCGGAGAAGACUUCUGGAAAGUUUGCCCUCUGUGGCAACCUGACGCCUUUGAGUAUUGGAGAAGAGAUUGUUCAAUAGUGUUAUGAAAAUAGCAAUUUAGUCUGUUAUUGAUAACCUUGUUUUAGGUAGUAAGUAUUGUAUUUUAAGAAAGAGAUGGCCAACAUUCUCUUCACUGUAUCUGUUUUAAUGUAUUAAAAUAAUACAGAAGUUUGUUACUAAGUAUAGGGUUGUUGGUAAGGUUUUGUUUACAAAUGUUGGAUAUUUUUGCUGCUACUUGUGAAUUUUUUUAUAAUGCUUAAAUUGCAUUGGAAUAGUUUAUCUGGCUAAUAUUAGAACCUAUCUUUUUUUUUUAUGAAUUGUAACUGACAAAAUGAGUUACUCAAUUCCUUUUCUUUUAAAGCUUGUUUGUGAAACUGAUUGGUACAUUCAAUGAACAAAAAUGCAACCAAAAAUCUGUUUGCUCAGGCUUUUUUUCCUUCAAGAAUCAGACUUCUACUAAUGCCAUUUUGUGAUAGUGUCAGUCUUAUAUAUUUCACUUAUUCCAGGGUUGGCAUAGAGAGCACAUGUUACUUAGUUACCUUUAGUUAGAGAUGAAUUUGCCUUAGCCUUGCAUGGAGGUCCAGGUGGAAGUCCAGUUGAGAUGUAAUUUGGUGCAUUCGCCUUUAGGUGGCACUGUUUCAGAUCCACUCUGCAGCCUGUUUGUCACUAGUGCACACUAGUCCAUGCUAAGUCAAGGGAGGCAGGGUGAGAAGUCAUCUCUGUCUUUAGUACCGUACCUUGCCUUAUAGAUAUGAAAACAGAAUAACAAGGAAC